rnacentral:lncRNA from 1 species
GGUCCCAGUCCACCCCAGUCCAUCCCAGUCCGGUCUCAGUCCACCCCAGUCCAGUCCCUGUCUGCCCCGACCUGUCCCGGUCAGGUCCCAGUCCACCCCAGUCCAGUCCCUGUCCGCUCCGACCCGUCCCGGUGGGUCCCAGUCCACCCCAGUCAGGUCCUAGUCCAUCCCAGUCCAUCCCAGUCCCUCCCAGUCUGGUCCCUGUCUGCCCUGACCCAUCCCAGUCCGGUCUCAGUCCACCCCAGUCCAGUCCCUGUCCGCUCCGACCCGUCCCAGCGGGUCCCAGUCCACCCCAGUCCACCCCAGUCAGGUCCUAGUCCAUCCCAGUCCAUCCCAGUCCCUCCCAGUCUGGUCCCUGUCUGCCCUGACCCAUCCCAGUCAGGUCCUAGUCCACCCCAGUCCAUCCCAGUCCUAUCCCAGUGUAUCCCGAUCCAUCCCAGUCCAGUCCUAGGGUAUCCCAGUGUAUCCCAGUCCAUCUCCAUCCCUUCCAGUCCAUUCCAGUCCGCUCCCAGUACACCCUAGUCCAUCCCAGUCCAGUCCCAAUGUACCCUAGUUCAUCUCUGUCCGUCCCAGCCCGCCCCAGUCCGCUCUCAGUCCUCCCCAGUGCGCCCAGUUACCGAAGCGCUCCCAGUCCGAGUGGCUCAACGCGUCCAUGAGGCGGCAGAAGCUGCACAUGAGCCAGGCGGGCAGCUCGUACAGGAAGGGCCCGAGCCCCGGCCCCGGCCCC